GGGAUUGUGGCUCAGUGGUAGAGUGCUCAUCUAGUAUGUGCGGAACCUGGGUUCGAUCCUCAGCAUCACA
rnacentral:tRNA from 1 species